rnacentral:siRNA from 1 species
AGGAGAGUGCUUAUACACUGGUAC